rnacentral:rRNA from 1 species
UGGGGAAUCUUCCGCAAUGGGCGAAAGCCUGACGGAGCAACGCCGCGUGAGUGAAGAAGGCCUUCGGGUUGUAAAGCUCUGUCUUCAGGGAAGAAAAAAAUGACGGUACCUGAGGAGGAAGCCACGGCUAACUACGUGCCAGCAGCCGCGGUAAUACGUAGGUGGCGAGCGUUGUCCGGAAUUACUGGGCGUAAAGGGCGUGUAGGCGGCCUUUUAAGUCAGAUGUGAAAUCUCAGGGCUUAACCCUGAAACUGCGUUUGAAACUGGAGGGCUUGAGGAUCGGAGAGGGCAGUGGAAUUCCCAGUGUAGCGGUGAAAUGCGUAGAUAUUGGGAGGAACACCAGUGGCGAAGGCGACUGCCUGGACGACACCUGACGCUGAGGCGCGAAAGCUAGGGGAGCGAACGGG